CACUUGCUGCUCCAGCUCGUCUAUCCUCCGCUUCUGCUUCUCCAGCAGCUCCUGCUGCGUCUCGAUAAUCUUGUUCAGCUCCUUCAGGGAUGUGUUCAGGCUGGAGCAGCCAGUGCUGUGUGGCAGCGUUUCAUCUGUUAUGAAAUCCUUCCGGGAGGAGAGAACGGAAUAAUCAGGUGGAUUUGCUUUCUCUCCUUGUCUCUGGAUGUUAGUUCUUGAGGCAGAGCUGCUGACUAAGGAGCAGUGUGUGGUGCUGGGUUCCAGUUCUCCAAAGGAGCUGUGUGAGGUGCAAGUUCCAGCCUCUGAAGGAACACCAGAAAGGAUUUAUCUGCAGGCAAGGAUGGAACUGGAAGAUCAAAGGAGGUGAGAGAGGGCUGGGUGAAAGAAGGAAACCCAGCUCCUUUUGUUCACCAGUGAAAACAGUGCAAUGGGAAUUCCUGGAGCAACCAGGGGAAGGUGUCCCUGCCCACAGCAGAUGAGCUUUAAGGCCCCUUCCAACCUAAACCAUUCUGGGAUUCUGAUUAUUAAAGGCUUACAGAAGAGGAACACACAGCACCUGACCUGACUGUAAAUAACAUACAUUCAUAUGGGCCAAACUAAUUUCAUUUACAGCCACAGCUGGUAGCAAAAAAUCUCCAUAACUGGGGGCUGUUCCAAUCAGCACUGAAGGUUUGAGUGAGCAAAUCAAUUAAUUAUACAUUGAUUUUCCCAGGCACGUUUGCUCCAACAAUCACAACUGUGAAUUUGGCCCCUGAGUCCUGAAGCAGCUGUUGAAUAUUUACAUCCUGCUCCUGAAUACAAACUCCCUGGUUCCUUUUUGGCCCGAGGCAGGGACAGGGAAGGGAACAGCCGUUUGCCAAAGGCCACACAAUCACGUUGUACCUGCAGAGAACAUUGGGUUCCAGCCUGGCCCAAGGGAGAGGAGAUGCUUUGUCUGCUUGCAAUUAGACAAGGAUCAUAAUAGAUGCAUGUAUUCAUUUAGUAGAACAAAAUAAAGAGAAGGGAAAGAUGUGUCUCUUCAUAAAUUAAUACCAGGUUUUGCUGAGUAAAGCAGAAAAUAAUGGAGAUAAGUUUUCCUUCUUCUUCCUGAUUUUUAAAGGAAAAACUUCCCCAUGAACUCAUACCCAGAGAGAAUUCUGUGUUCUGUGAAUAUAGUUCUGUAAGAACAGUCCCCCUUUGCACUGAAUAUGUCAAGUCUCAUUGAUUUUAACAGUUACUGAGGAAAUACAGCUCCUUGCCAGGCACAGAAUGAUUCCUGUACCAAUCUGGAGAAAGCUUGGGAUUGGCAUGUGAGUGCAGAGCUGCCUCAAUGAGCACCUGAGAAGUUGCUGGAGCUAAGGGAAGUGAAUAAAAAUAUAAAUUAAUGGGAAGUGGUGAUUGAAUAGGGAUAAAAUAGAGAAUGGAAAACUGAUGUGAUGUUUUAAAAUCAGAUUUCCUAGUUAGGGUUCAAAUAUCUGUUACACGGAGCUUUAAUAAAGUUUAUGCCCUCGCAGUGCUGUAUAAAUCUGGAGCAGAAGACAGAUUUAAUCCCAUUAAAUAUGUGUCAGGGAUUUAAUGCAGUAGAUAAUAAAACACGCACUAUUAGACCUGGCCUUACAAUGAUUCAUUUGUAUCAAAUCCAGUGCCUGUGGCUGCAAAAGGAGUUUUGCCUGAGGCUCAGGGACUGGACUUCACAUUUCUGUUAUUGAUCCCAGGCAGGUGCUGGAGCUGCUGUUUGUUCUCAGCUCUUUUAUCCAUGCACUGUACAGCCAGUUUUGUUCCCUUUCUCCAGAGAUGGCCACUGAAAAUGUAACAGGAAUAUUUCUACAACCUUCCUUUUAACAGAAAUGAGGCAAUUUGACCUACUGAUUCUGUAUGUUUUUUCCUAUUCAAGGGCAGAAUAUCCUCAGAGUUAAAAAGCUGCUGCCAGACCCAACUUGCUCUGCUAAGAUAGAGACAUCCCCUGGUUCUGCAGCCCCUGUCAGUCCAAAUGCCCACACUGGGAGUUGAGGGAAUGCCAGCCUUCCAGGUUGCUUGUGCACUUUAUUUUCUUGUGUCACCCCAACUUUUAUCCUUGGCUGAACACAAGUAACCGAAAUAAAAAAAGUUUUGAGCUCUGCAAACGUGGAAAACUUUUGUUACACCCAAACCCGUGGGAAGAUACUGCUGAAUUUCUGCUCAUUAGAAAGCCAUUUAUAUACAUUCAUUUCUGCUCUUUGGUUGGUUGGUUGAUGUUUGAGGACUUUUUUGUGCAGUCUGUAGCAACCACCACCACAGAGCAGAUGGAAACUGGCUUUUAAGAAUACCCUAGUGCUCUGUCCUCAAAAGUUUAAAGCUUCUGGGUCAUCAUAAUCAUCCCUGUGGCAGCUGAAAUGCUGAAAAUUCAGAUACUUGGUUGUUUGGGUGUUUUUAAAUAUAGUAGUGUUCUCUUAACUGAUUGAAACCAAAUUAAUUAAUUCUUCAGCUUUUAUUAUUCUCUUGUUUAAAACUUUUAUGCUGUCAAACACUUGGUGAUUGCUGAUCCUCAAGAGCACCAAUGAAUGUACAUUCCAUGGCUGCAGUUUGGGGCUUCACUGCCAUUUAUUUGAUGACCACAUGUAAAAUGAGUAUUUCCAACACAGGGCAACUCAUAAAACUUUUUUGAUUUUACUUGUGCAUAGUAAAAGUUGGGUUGGAGAACUUUUAAUGCUGUGUUUUGCAGUCACUCAUCAGGUGAUGUUUUCUGUAUAACAAUGGGAGGAAGUGAAA